UACGUAGGGGGCAAGCGUUGUCCGGAUUUAUUGGGCGUAAAGAGCGUGUAGGCGGUUUGGUAGGUCCGCUGUGAAAACUCGAGGCUCAACCUCGAGACGCCGGUGGAAACCAUCAGGCUAGAGUCCGGAAGAGGAGAGUGGAAUUCCUGGUGUAGCGGUGAAAUGCGCAGAUAUCAGGAGGAACACCGGUGGCGAAGGCGGGUCUCUGGGCCGAUACUGACGCUGAGGAGCGAAAGCAUGGGUAGCGAGCAGG
rnacentral:rRNA from 1 species